rnacentral:rRNA from 1 species
GUGGGGAAUUGUUCGCAAUGGGCGCAAGCCUGACGACGCAACGCCGCGUGGAGGACGAAAACCUUCGGGUCGUAAACUCCUGUCGAGUGGGACGAAACUACCUGGGUUAAUACCCUGGGUGGCUGACGGUACCGCUAAAGGAAGCCCCGGCUAACUCCGUGCCAGCAGCCGCGGUAAUACGGGGGGGGCAAGCGUUGUUCGGAUUUACUGGGCGUAAAGAGCUCGUAGGCGGCUUGUUUAGUCGGACGUGAAAUCCCUCGGCUCAACUGAGGAACUGCGUCCGAUACUGGCAGGCUUGAAUCCGGGAGAGGGAUGCGGAAUUCCAGGUGUAGCGGUGAAAUGCGUAGAUAUCUGGAGGAACACCGGUGGCGAAGGCGGCAUCCUGGACCGGUAUUGACGCUGAGGAGCGAAAGCCAGGGUAGCAAACGGG